AUUUAUGUUAUACAGCCUGUCCGUAUGGAUUGUUCGGACAAGGUUGUACUGGUGUAUGUAACGACAACUGUACGGGCUGCAACAAUGUGAAUGGUGUGUGUGACAGAGGAUGUCAUCCAGGCUGGAUGGGAGAUUAUUGUGAUAUAGUCCAUUCAUCCUAAUGGAGUCAGUUAACAGUGGACAAACUUGGGCGAUGGAAGUGUGAAUAUUACUUUGUUUUCUACAUGUUUAAGACAUUAUAAAUCAUAAAGAAAUCCAUAGAUAUAUAAAAGGUGAAGAUAUUGUGACAGUCAGAAACAAGCCAAUAUCCAAUACGUUUAUGAACUUUGAUACCUACCGUUGACUAUAUAUUGUCGUGAGUACCAAAUACCACUGACAAUUAGAAUCAAGCUGGUAUGCGAUACUAGUAUGGACUUUGAUUCAUUCAUAGACCGACUAAUAUAUCGUUGUGGAUAUCAAAUAAAAAUGACAGUCAGAAGAAAGCCGAUAUGCGAUAUUUCUAUGCACUUUGAUUCCUUCAUCAACCGAAUAUUUUAUUGUUGUUAAUAUCAUAUUAAAGUGACAGUAAAAAAAAGCUUAUAUGCAAUACGUAAAUAUACUUUUACAAUUCAUUUACCAAUGAAGCGCCUCUCACUUACGUCGUUAUGAAUCAAAUCUCGUUAGAUAUUUUCCUUUUUUUCCAAACAAUGCAAUACUACAUUAACUAGAAUGUUUAUUUAUUUAAAAUAUGUUUUUUUUUUCAAUUACAUUUUAACAUUUUUGUUUUGUAUUUAUCAGUAAAUGUCAUACAGCAAAUCUAAUUUUUUAAACCAUAUUAUUACAAGUGAAUCAAAACGUUAAAUAAUUUUAGAACAAACAAUUUUUUUAUUAUUGUGUACAUAAAACUGUUUAGUAUAUAUAAAUCUAUUUCACGUUCGUACUGGUAUACAGUGAUGCUUAACAUUCGGAUUUCAAAGUGUGUCGUUAAUCUCAAUUGUUUCCAAAAAAAAAGACGAAAAUCAGUUUGAAAAAGUGUCUCUUUUUUCAAAUGGUAAUUAAGUAGUAUUUUCUUUUACUCUUUUUGAUGUUUGAAUAUGACCUACACAUAUGGUAUGAAAUCCAAAAAGAAGGGUAACAAUUUAGUGAUUGCUUUGAGUUAAUUUUUUUGCUCUGAAGAUGAGGAGAAAGAAUAAAUGACAAAAGAU
rnacentral:sRNA from 1 species